ACCAUUUCUUCUAUAAACCAUAACAAACCCUGCACAAACUGAAAUUACCUGCUAAUUUUUGUAGAUGCUCAAAACGUGAAAAGGAUUAAAAACGUACAUUUUUGGAUUGGCUGAGUAUAAAGACGUUCUGGGAUGGAAUCUUAAUUACAAGUCAUACUCAUAGAAUCAUUUGAGGGUAUAUUUCAUCUUUGUUGACUUUGCAUAUGCUACCAGGUUAUUCAAAAAUAUGAAAUAGUUCUGCAAUGGGGUACCAAUGUUUGCUUCAAAGGUGUUGAUUCUGUUGAGACAGGGUUAACAGGGUGCUGCUGACUCACUGAAGCAGGUGGAUCAUUACCGUUGCCAAGAUACCAGGAAGUUUAGUGUGGCUCCCUAGAGGGAGUGGUUCUAGGAUGGCAACUGAGCAGUCUUGAGGAAGGAACAUUCAGUUACAGGCAAGCUAGAGUUGAACUUUCUUGUAUUUUUGUUAAUUACUGUAAUAAUUUUACAAAUUUUGUUAAAUAUUGUAAUUACUGUAAUAAAAGGAAACCCCAGUCAGAGGGUUAUUUUGGAAUCUACAUCAUAUAUUAAUUUUGUUUCAGAGUAGGUUGGGAAAUAUACCUAGUAACCAUCUUCUAAACCAUAAUAAACCCCAAAGAUUGGGAGGAGAGGAGACCACACACACACACACACUAUUUUCUGAAAAGAAAUAGUCCAGACGCAAAACAAGAUGGAUGAAUGUAGGAGAACUAAGUGAAGUAUUUCUAAAUUGAUAGUGGAAGGAAAGACUGUGUGUAGCAGACAGACAGCCAACAAGUAGGCAGCCAGAUGUCUGAUAUAAGUUCAAGGAGAUUUAAGAGUUUUUAUUGUUUUUGUUGAUUUUAUGGUGUACUGAAAGAAAGAAACGUUUGGGGUUGGGAAGGGGGAAUACUGUUUUGAAUGUUACUCAGGAAAUGCUUGGAAGAAGAUAAGUUAAAAUGAUGCUAAUGCUUUGUUUAUAGCAUCUGCCAUGGGAGGAUCCCAAAGCACUGUACAAAUGAUAAUGAAACAAAUCUCACAUCACUUCUGUGAGUUAGGGAAAUAUUAUUACACCAGUGCAGUAGAUAACCUCUCUGUGCCUGUUUAAGUGACUACCUUAAGGUCCAUAUACAUCAAAAUUUGGUGUUGACAAUUUCUGUCUCUUCCCUUUUAGUUAUCUUCUGGAAAUCACCUUUAUAAGCAUUCCAAACUUUAGCCUCUUCUCAGAGCUAAGGACAAUGAGAGUCAAUUGGCCUAUCCCAACAGAUGAGACACCUUGCCAGGAGAGCAUUAAUGAAGCUAAAGCUAAAAUACACAGUUCCCAGGAAAGGAAAGCUCUUAUGCUUGAUAAAGAUUUUUCCAACUACUGUUAAUUUCUCAAACCAAAGACUCCCAUAAUUUUACUUAUGGAUGAGACUUCCAUCUCUCUUGGUCUAGCUAAGGAGAACCACGGCCAGGCAACAGACAAGUGUAACUGUCCCCUUUCUGUGUGGAGUACCUAAUUGUCUCGUAUGCUAGAUAGAAACUGUGAUGCUGGCUUGCCAGGUGUCAGCUCAUGCCAAGGCCCAUAGCUGGAAACCAUGUUGGCUUACCUGUGGGUGAGUAUAGUUAAAACAGAUAUUAGCGUUGUAAGAAUGUGUGUUUAAUGUUUAGACUUUAUGGAAUACUUGUAGGAUGCUGCACAUAAUAAUUCUACUUAUAAUAUCUGUAUCCCAUGGUGUAAAGUUAUAUUGAGUGUUUGCUUUGUAAACCUCUAUAAUUGUGUAACUCACUAAACAAGAGAAGACACGUUAAUUUAGAAUAAAGUGCUGGCCCUGCAGACAAGAGGGCCUUUGAAACCAAAUGAGCCAUUGUAAGAUAUCAAAAGGAUAUGUUGUUGUUUGCCCUCCCCACUUUUGUCAGACACCCACAUUUGUUCCAUCAGUUUGGACUCUGGGGAGAAUAGGAUAAAAAUCCUUGACAAGAAGAAACUAGGUCUCUUUAUGCUGUCUGGACUCUGAGGGACAAAGAUUCCUAAACAUAAGCAAGAGAUCCCCAUGCUCCUUGGCAUGGGUCAGCCCUAAAGGACAUACAGAGCUGCUUAAUAUAGAAGCUUAUAUUACCUUUCUAAACCAAAGACUAACUCAUUUUUGUGUUUCCUGUUUUAACCUCGUAAAUAAUACUUUUUUUUUUUUUUUUUUAGUUAAUAGAUCAUUAGUUUGUUACAGGAGUAGCUACAGGUGUUGUCUUUGGUUUGGAGAUAUGAGUAUAAUCAACCUGGGGUAAGUGAUUGGUCCUUGGGACUGGGAAUAAUCUGAAUAUUGUUGUGAUUUUUGGUGUAAAGUAACCAUCUAUCACAUAGUCCAGCUUGCCUGGGUGGAAAGAUAAACUGGCAUGCCCAAGGGGACUAUCUGUGACUCCAUGGUAAAACUGUUACAGUGCUUUAGGAGUUCACACUUGUUAUUGUGAAGGUAAAAUCUAAUUAUAGAACAUACAGCCAGUUUGGGGUUUCUGUUGUGCUUUUUGACAGUCUGCCCUGAGGUUGGCACUCAUGGUCGUGAGCCACUCCAGACAGUGUGACAUGAACCAAAGAAGUGGAAAAACAAAAUGGAGGUUUCAAUCAGUUAGGAACAGCUUGUCUGGUGACCCAAAAACCUGAAAGUUUCAGAGAUCAAAUGUCCAAGCUUAUAUAUUCCACCCCAACUUAGAAACUAUUGAUAAUGUUCGCCUGAUAAGUCAGAAACACAUCUCUCUGAAUAAUCUGUCUGGUUUCUCUAACGUCUCAAAUCCUAUAAGCAGCCUGGAAAGAUGUUAAGUGAAAAGCAUUCGAUAUAAUUAGGGCUGUCACUUAAUCGCAGUUAAUGCAAGCAAUUUAAAAAAUAGUUGCGAUUAAUUGUAGUUUUAAUCACACUAAUAAUAAUAGAAUACCAAUUUAAUUUUAUUAUAAAUGUGUUGGAUAUUUUUCUACAUUUUCAAAUAUAUUGAUUUCAAUUACAGCACAGAAUAAGUGUACAGGACUCACUUUAUAUUACAACAGUGCCAUGUGAAUGCCUGUUCCCACUUUCUUGUGACAUUGUAAAUAAGAAGCGGGCAGUAUUAUCUCCUGUAAAUGUAAACAAACAUGUUUGUCUUAGCAAUUGGCUGAACAAGAAGUAGGACUUGCAGGCUCUAAAGUUUUACUUUUUGAGUGCACUUAUGUAAAAAAAAUAAAUAAAUUCUACAUUUGUAAAUUGCACUUUCACAAUAAAGAGGUUGCACGACAGUACUUGUAUUAGGUGAACUGAAAAAUAGUAUUUGUUUGUUUUUAAACAGUGUAAAUAUUUGUAAAAAAUAGUAUAAAGUGAGCACUGUAAACUUUAUACUCUAUGUUGCAAUUGAAAUCAAUAUAUUUGAAAAUGUAGAAAAAAAUCCAGAAAUAUUUAUAAUAAAUGUAAAUGUGUAUUCUAUUAUUGUUUAACUGUGCGAUUAAAACUAAUUAAUCACAACUAUUUUUUAAUCUUGCUAUUAAUUGAGGUUUUUUAUCAUUUGACAGCCCUAGAUAUAACCAAAGAAUGUGUGGUUCAUGUUCUAUAUAUUUAAAGAUUGUAAGGGAUUUUGUUUCAUUUCUUUGAAAAUGGUGGUUGCACCCUAGAAGUGGUAAGAACUGUAUGGCACUAGAAGGAAAAAGGAAUGUUGAAAGAUAUCUAGCCAGGGUAUAAUUUAGGAAUAUUAAGAGAAAUUGCUUAAAGAGCGGGAUCCCAAUGAAUAGUCAGGACAAACGAUGAAAUACAAUCUAUUAAAUGAAUUAAACCAUCUGACUGAAGGAAGCAUUAAAGAAAUUUAUUAUACACUGAUGCCAUCUACUGUAUAUCAAUGGAAGCAUCAGAAAAAUAGAGACAGCUGAGAGCCACAGGGCAACUGACCAAUAGAAAUCAGAGGCCCCUCUGAAGAGCCCUGAAAUCAGGAUACACAAAACUGAGGUCACUGUAUGGGACCCCAGAGUUUUUCCAGUACAGGUGUUAAGCAGAUCUCAAACUCCUCUCCCCUCCUCAUUCAGGGUCACAAGACCAAAAGUUGACUGAACUCGCAAAGAAGCUGCAGAAUCCCCAGUGUGAUCAACAUCUGGACCAGCUAUGUGGAAAGGAUUCUCCCUUAUUCCAGGGUUAAUAGGAUAAGAAGUGGUAGAGUGGAAAAUACACAGAGAACCAUACUACAGAACAAGAAAAAUACUGACAAACUUAUGGUACUGCUCCACAGAGAAGCUGUCUGGAGCACCCUAAACUCAGAAAUACACCCGGAAUAAAGGCAAGAAACUAAAAAUCUAAUUGUGAAGAGAGGAUCCAUUUCGAGUAAGACACAGAAAAGCCAUACAUACUUACAUAUUUGAGGAAGAGGUGCAGCUCCCUGUGAUCUGUGGGAUUGACGGUUGCCUCAAACAGAGUGGUUUUGGACGUGUUUCACCACAAAUGAAUCAGCAGUUCCAAUACUGAUACAUCAUUCAGAAAGGAAUAGGAUACACUCUCCUCCCCGCAUCAUGUCAUGCAGUGAGAUAAGUGAGUAGGUGCAGUAAACUUUCACUCAGUGAUGAAUAUGCUCCAUACUUGGCAAAGAUAUGCUGUUUUGUUGAACUUGUGUACUCCUAUAGUUUUACUGGGAGUACAUGUCAGGGGAUAACCUCACCAACUCAGGAUCCUUCCAUACCUCUGUUAGAGGACACUCCCCAGGUCAUCUGCAACAGGAGCUACAAAGGGACAUUACAAAGGGAAAACAAUGGCUUCUGAACAAACCUCUUAGCUGUCUCCACAGAAUGCUGUUCUGCCAACUCCUUCUGCAGUUCCCUCUCUUUAGCCUCUUUCUGCCCAAUAGGACAGUCUUCAGGCACAGUGAAUAAUGACAAGG